AUGGUUCACAAACUGAAAGUGAAAUGUCAAUCUCCUUCAUACAGGCUCAAAGUACAAAUUAGGGGAAGAAGGAGAACCAGCCCUGGCAUAUGAUCUGUGAAGAGAUAAGCUAGAUGGUAGAGAGAGUCCACCAACCACUUCUAUCACGGGGUCCAAAAAAAGAAUUGCCCCGGUGUCUGAGGUUUUAACCCAUAGUCAGUCACCGUCAAUAACUGGGUACUUGAUGCUUAAGAUUAGUACUCUGUCUUGAGGACUGUCAGUAAGAAACAUGAGGGCAAGAGGGUGGUAGAAAUUUGUGCUUUGAAUAAAACUGAGGUCCAUCUUGGGAGGUCCUUGAGACCUUUCAGAGGACAUAUAAGGACCAUGUUUUUCUAACUACAUAUCUUUGUACAAACAGAUUUCUUCAUAUACUUCAACUGAAAUAUAUAUAUAGAGAGAAAUAUCCAUGUGUGUGUAUAUAUAUGUGUAUAUAUUCACAUAUAAAUGUAUGUGUUAGAUUAGAUACAGAAACAGAUACAGGAACAUAGAUGCUGUCAGAUAAGCGAGAUAUUAAAGAUUUGUGAAAAAUAUACAAUGCCACCCAAUUUAUUAAGUCUGUUUCUGUUUUAGAAAAUAUUUUUUCAUAGAAAUAAGGAAUGUCAAUGUCUAAACAGUAUAACACUAAUUUUAAAUGAAAUAAACUUCAAAAAAUCAGUUCUAAUUUCUAAUGUGGUAAAUAUUGAUAGAUAUAACCCAUAUUAAAAAAACCCUGCUCUUUUGAGGCUUCAAUUUAUAGAAUAUAAAGGAGAGAUAAAUGUUGUGUGCCACUAGAUCAGAGAAUACCCCAACCACUAAGUGAUCACAAUAAGAAAAUAAAAUUACUAACUCUUUGCAAUCUGUGGACCGAGAAAAUAAUGAUAAAAUAUACAAUGUAGUCAGUGUGUUCUGUGUGUCAGCACUUAAUUGCUUGGUUUUCCAUCUUAACAAACCCUCACCAUAUCCCCAUGAGUUAGGAGAAAUUUAUCAUCCUUACUACACAGAUAAGAGAAAGGAACAUUACAAAGUCAAGCAAAUUCCCUGGGGCCACUUGGCUUUUAUGAAGUCCAGUUAGAUCAAUAACAGCUAGAACUGAUGCUGAUGCAUACUGAUUUCUUCUCAGAAAAUGAAAGUAAUUUGGAAUAAGUAAAACAAGUCCUAAGGUUAAAACAAAAGUCCAAAGAAAUAAUUCUAGCAUCAUCGAGGACGUUGUUCAGGCAAGUGUUGAUGGCAAAUGGAUGUGUCUCUUCAUUGAGGUUUGUUUUUGGUUUUGGUUUUCUUUUUCCUCCCUUUCUUCCCUGCUAGGAGACAUAGGCUUGGUGUGUUUGUGGGAACACAUGUCUUUAUUUCCUACUAGAUAUUAUUUUUGCCCACAGAGUUAGCAGAGGGAUUGGAUAUGAAGAUAAAAUGUGUUCUUCUCCGUGGCCUCUCUCCCUGGGGUUGGAGACCAGAGAAUUCUACCUCCACUGCGACCACAUCCGUGUUUAUGAAUCACAAAGACUCAGGUUAACAACCUCCCACCCCCACCCCAGCUCCUUCACACAAGCUAUGCUGCUUUAGAAAGGGCCUUUGUAAGAUUUCUAUUUUAGAAGUUGCUUUUCUAUCAUGGGGGAGGCCUUGGCUUUUUCAGUAGCACAAAGCUAAUCACCUUGAGGUGAAGUCCUCUACUUAAUUACAGUUAGCUGGCUUAAGAAAAAUAUCUUACUCUCUCAACUAGGAGGAGAGACGUUGAGAAAUAGCAGGAAAAAUACCUUCUAGACAUUGCAUCUGAUUUCCAUGACUGCUGUCACUCAUGUUGAUGGCCGAGGAAUUUCUAAAAUGGUAACUCUCCUGUAGGGUUCCUGUUCCAUUUUCUAUAAUGACUUUUAGACUCUGACGUUGUCUUCAUUCAGGGGAAGGAAGGGGAUACAUGUAUAUACUUGAAAGUUGUAGGGUAGGAAAACAAUCCAAAAUGAUGUUUCUAUCAAUAAUUAAAAUAACUUAAAAAAUUAAUAAAAUUUGAAUAAAAAUCUGUUACGGUAUUGACACAGUACUGGCAUACACACCCAAGAUCUUGAUUCUGCCAGUCUCAGUGUGACUACUUAAAGCUACACUUGAAAAUGACUAAACCUGUGUUGCAUAGUGUGUGAGAGUCCAGGCUUUCCAGACAGCCCUGCCACUUAUGGCUUCUGUGCUUCCUUUCCUCAUCUAUAAAAUGUGGUUUGUAUUAAUAAUACCUACUCAUUGGCUUGUGUGUAUUAGGGAGGUAACCCAUGAAAAUGCACUUGAGUUACUCUAUUUUCUCUCCCAUACCUCUCCCAUUUAGGUGAGUACAGGGCUUUGGGGGAAUUGCAAUGAUACACACUCAAAAGAGGUGAUGGCUUAUGCCUAGGAAGCAAAGCACAUUUGGGUUUGAGAAGGCCUGAAACAGGCUUGGGUGUGCAAUGAGUAUUUGUUGUGUACCUACUCUAUGCAAGGCACUAAGCUAAGUUUGAUGGAGCCCCAGAGCUUUCCUCCUUCCGAGUCCUCCCUCCUUGGCCUGUGUGCUGAUGGUCCCAACCGCAGUUCCCUCAGCACCAUAAGCAUUGCUGUGGCUGCUGCAUACCAAGUGCUCUACAUAUUUUAUUUUAUUAUUUUAACUCCUCUCUUGCCAGAUACUUCUGACAUUUUAGUUGCUUGAUCUCACAAAGCUUCAGUCCCCUCAUUUGAAACUUGAUAGAAUACUAGUUUCUAUCCCUUAGGGUUGUUUAGAGCAUCAGACGAAGUAACAGUAGUCAAGACCUUAGCACAAUCCCUGGCACAGGAAAAGCAUGGUGAAUAAAACCUAUGCAUUAUUUGAAAAAUGAACCAAGCAAGACUCAAAGAUGAAGUAACUUUCCUCGUGUGGCCCAGGGAGUAGCCAAGAUGAAGACGGAGGUCCAUUUUGUCUGAUGUCAAAUCAUUCCCUCUCUUCUCUGACUCCCUCUUAGGAUCAGUCCUGUGACUAGUGAGCGGAUCACACUACGGUCUAUCCAGUUUUAUGUUCUGCCCUUUCCCCGAAUGGAUUAAAUUGCAAGAGUAGUUUUUGAUGACUUUUCUUUGUUUAAUGUCCUGUAAUGGGAGCUUAGUCAAGAACUAAAGAAAGGAUGAUCCAGGCUCCUCUGAAAACCCAGAAGCCAUGGACCACCCUGCAGAGUCCUGGCUUGAUGAGAGGAGCAUAUUGGAAAUGGAAAUUCCUCACUCUGUACUUUUCUCUGUGCUGCUUCACCGCUGGCCAAGUCUCAUUCUCUUGCCCUUUAACUGUCUGCCACUUUUGACCUCAAUUGUCCCAGUAGAUAUUUGACCCAAAAUCUGGAAGCUCACUGGAUGUUUAACACAGACACCCUCUCUUUCCUCCCCCAAACCACAGUGGGACUUUCAGGAAUUGGGUAAGGAACCCAUAGGGGUUGAACCUAAAAUUCCCAUAUUCCCUGAGGUUUCUAGAAAACCAACAAAAAAUGCUUUGUUUAGCAAGCUGUGAAGUAACUGGUGUAUUCAUCAAGCAAAAAGCUCAGAGCCAACCCUGAAAACAGAAAAUGUGGCUUCAAAAACAUGAACCCCUCCUUUCAAUCUGCUUUAAUUAGAACAGGAGAG
rnacentral:lncRNA from 1 species